UACGUAGGGGGCUAGCGUUGUCCGGAAUCAUUGGGCGUAAAGCGCGCGUAGGCGGCCCGGUAAGUCCGCUGUGAAAGUCAAAGGCUCAACCUUUGAAUGUCAGCGGAUACUGCCGGGCUAGAGUCCGGAAGAGGCGAGUGGAAUUCCUGGUGUAGCGGUGAAAUGCGCAGAUAUCAGGAGGAACACCGGUGGCGAAGGCGGGUCUCUGGGCCGAUACUGACGCUGAGGAGCGAAAGCGUGGGGAGCGAACAGG
rnacentral:rRNA from 1 species